AGGUUGGCUCAGAAGCAGCCAUCCUUCAAAGAGUGCGUAACAGCUCACUAGUCGAGUGACCCUGCGCCGAAAAUGUACCGGGGCUAAGCAUGCUACCGAAGCUGCGGAUUUGUAGGAAUACAAGUGGUAGGGGAGCGUUCUAUGCAGCGUAGAAGCCAUAUCGUGAGGAGUGGUGGAGCGCAUAGAAGUGAGAAUGCCGGUGUGAGUAGCGAGAUGUAGGUGAGAAUCCUACACACCGAUAGCCCAAGGAUUCCAGGGGAAGGUUCGUCCGCCCUGGGUAAGUCGGGACCUAACGCGAGGCCGAAAGGCGUAGUGGAUGGAAAACAGGCAGAUAUUCCUGUACCCGCGAUGGAAAUGAAGGAAUGACGGAGAAGGUAAGUAUGACCCACUAAAUGGAUUGUGGGCGAAGCGUAUAGCAGGAUGGCAGUGAAAUGCGUCAUCAGGAUGUAAAGCGUGAAAGGUAAGGGAACGCCCAAGGGCAAGUACCGAAGCAUAUGUAGCCAGCUUCCAGGAAAAGUUUCUAGUAUAUUCCAUAGCGGCCCGUACCAAAACCGACACAGGUGGGCAAGGAGAGGAUCCUGAGGUGAGCGAGAGAACUGUUGCCAAGGAACUCGGCAAAAUGACUCCGUAAGUUAGCGAGAAGGAGUGCUUAUGAAAGUAAGCCGCAGUGAAGAGGCCCAAGCGACUGUUUAACUAAAACACAGCUCUCUGCAAAGUCGCAAGACGAAGUAUAGGGGGUGACGCCUGCCCGGUGCUGGAAGGUUAAGAGGAUUUGUCAGUAGCGAUACGAAGCAAUGAAUUGAAGCCCCAGUGAACGGCGGCCGUAACUAUAACGGUCCUAAGGUAGCGAAAUUCCUUGUCAGGUAAGUUCUGACCCGCACGAAAGGCGUAACGAUUUGGGCGCUGUCUCGGCAGCAGACUCGGUGAAAUCUUAGUACCUGUGAAAAUGCAGGUUACCCGCAACUAGACGGAAAGACCCCAUGGAGCUUUACUGCAGCCUGAUAUUGAGUUUCGAUCAGAGAUGUACAGGAUAGGUGGGAGACAAAGAGACAUGCACGCCAGUGUAUGAGGAGUCGCUGUUGGGAUACCACUCUUGUCUGAUUGGAAUUCUAACCUGCAUCCCUAAGCGGGAUGAGGGACCGUGUCAGGUGGGCAGUUUGACUGGGGCGGUCGCCUCCCAAAGAGUAACGGAGGCGCCCAAAGGUACGCUCAGAUUGGAUGGAAAUCAAUCGACGAGUGCAAAUGCAGAAGCGUGCUUGACUGCGAGACAAACAGGUCGAGCAGGGACGAAAGUCGGGAUUAGUGAUCCGGCGGUGCCGAAUGGAAGGGCCGUCGCUCAACGGAUAAAAGCUACCCUGGGGAUAACAGGCU
rnacentral:rRNA from 1 species